GCACUGUGCAAUAUGAUAUGAAAUGCCUUAUCAAACAAACACACUUGGGCGCCAUUUUAAUCUGCCGGCUGAGAAAUAGCAUCACUAGGGAGACUGUUAGAAUGGAUGGAGUAAGUGACGAGCUGAUCUUGGAACUAGCAGGGGAGAUAGGGAAUGUCUGGAAUUUGCGGAAACUAGCUCUGAAAUUGGGGUUUUCGUUGGCGGAUGCGGAUAUUUUCGUGAAAACCAACCAGCUGAAUGGAAGAGUGACCAGUGAAGGAACAUUGGAGAUGCUUCGGCAAUGGAGGAAUAACACCCCAACAAGUAUUCAGCGAAAUAUGAUGAAGACGGCCCUCGAAAAAGCACAACUUAGUGAACUAGCAGAUAUUCAUUUUGAUCAACCUUGUACAAAUGGAGGACAGAGAGAAGAACAUACCCGCAAAAGGUUUCGAAGUGAGCUCAGUGAUACCAUUGAGGGAAAGGAUGCCAUUACGACUAAACAAGGUACAAGUAAAAAUACACUUCAUUACGAUGAUAUUGGUAAGUAUUUGGAUACUUCUAUACAGGAAUAUCUUUAAACUUGAUUUAUGUCUAUUCAACAUAACAAUGAAGGGGAUUCCUGUAUAUGUUUGACACAACGUACAGUCACCUUGAUUAGCCCCCAGUAUAAGUACGAAUAAAAUCUAUUGAUAUUUAGUGUAAUAUGACAAUAAAACAAUUUUUUUUUUUCCUCGAACAUUAAUUAUUUCAACUCAGACCCACCUUUUUAUCCACACGAAUAGGUCCAAAUACUUUUCUAAGUACGUGUUUGAUAAAAAUUUCCAUUAUCUUUAUAUUCUUGUUAUUACUUAUCUCCUUUCACAGUUAGCAAACACACCUUAUUUACAUAAGCAUUAUGGAUUAUACUUUAGAGGAAUGCCUAAAAGCUUGAUUUCUGUCUAUAUUAUUUCAUAAAAUCAGCUAUGUUCAACACAAAGUACAAACACAUUGAUUAACCAACAGUAUAAGUACAAAAAAAAAUCAUUGAUAUUUAGUGUAAGGACAAUAAAAUAAAUUAUAUUUUUUGGCCCUUUAACAUUAUUUAUUUCAAAUAAGACCCAUUCCUAAGAUCAAACGAAAAAUAAAUUCUUAUCUUAUUUGACAGCCCUUAAGUAUAGCCCUAAAUGUAAUCAUAUUAUAAUGUAUUUUGGACUAUCAUUUAGAAGAAUGUUUAUGAGCUUGAUUCCAGUCUAUUCACGAAAAAGAUUCAUUUUUAAAAUCAGCUAUUUUCAACACAACGUGCAGUUACCUUGAUUAACCCACAGCAUACUU